rnacentral:lncRNA from 1 species
GAUUGAAUCUUAAAUCAUCCGUGGUCGUAAGUAAUAACGAGAUACGGAUAUCGUUAUUACGGAUAGACCAUCACGUGUAGCAUUUCUUACUUGUGAAGUAAGUAGCUGAUCUCACAAGUUAAAGUGUGGUGACACUUAAAUGAACACGUGGAUGUUUGUUAUAGAACAAAACAUUGGAGACCCGUCGAGAGAUUCCACAUGGAUAACUAUCUGAGUGUCGGUGGUUAAUCUCUAACGUUCGGUAGUGAAAUUGGUCCUUUGACUUGAGG